rnacentral:rRNA from 1 species
GAUGAACGCUGGCGGCGUGCUUAACACAUGCAAGUCGAACGAGAAGUGAAGACGGAAACCUUCGGGCGGAAGGCUUUAUUUCGAGUGGCGGACGGGUGAGUAACGCGUGGGUAACCUGCCUCAUACAGGGGGAUAACAGUUGGAAACGACUGUUAAUACCGCAUAAGACCACAGCACCGCAUGGUGCGGGGGUAAAAACUCCGGUGGUAUGAGAUGGACCCGCGUUCGAUUAGCCAGUUGGCGGGGUAACGGCCCACCAAAGCGACGAUCGAUAGCCGAUCUGAGAGGAUGACCGGCCACAUUGGGACUGAGACACGGCCCAAACUCCUACGGGAGGCAGCAGUGGGGAAUAUUGCACAAUGGGGGAAACCCUGAUGCAGCGACGCCGCGUGAGUGAAGAAGUAUUUCGGUAUGUAAAGCCCUAUCAGCAGGGAAGAAAAUGACGGUACCUGAGUAAGAAGCCCCGGCUAACUACGUG